GACGAACGCUGGCGGCGUGCUUAACACAUGCAAGUCGAACGGAAAGGCCCUGCUUUUGUGGGGUGCUCGAGUGGCGAACGGGUGAGUAACACGUGAGUAACCUGCCCUUGACUUUGGGAUAACUUCAGGAAACUGGGGCUAAUACCGGAUAGGAGCUCCUGCUGCAUGGUGGGGGUUGGAAAGUUUCGGCGGUUGGGGAUGGACUCGCGGCUUAUCAGCUUGUUGGUGGGGUAGUGGCUUACCAAGGCUUUGACGGGUAGCCGGCCUGAGAGGGUGACCGGCCACAUUGGGACUGAGAUACGGCCCAGACUCCUACGGGAGGCAGCAGUGGGGAAUAUUGCACAAUGGGCGGAAGCCUGAUGCAGCAACGCCGCGUGCGGGAUGACGGCCUUCGGGUUGUAAACCGCUUUCGCCUGUGACGAAGCGUGAGUGACGGUAAUGGGUAAAGAAGCACCGGCUAACUACGUGCCAGCAGCCGCGGUGAUACGUAGGGUGCGAGCGUUGUCCGGAUUUAUUGGGCGUAAAGGGCUCGUAGGUGGUUGAUCGCGUCGGAAGUGUAAUCUUGGGGCUUAACCCUGAGCGUGCUUUCGAUACGGGUUGACUUGAGGAAGGUAGGGGAGAAUGGAAUUCCUGGUGGAGCGGUGGAAUGCGCAGACAUCAGGAGGAACACCAGUGGCGAAGGCGGUUCUCUGGGCCUUUCCUGACGCUGAGGAGCGAAAGCGUGGGGAGCGAACAGGCUUAGAUACCCUGGUAGUCCACGCUGUAAACGGUGGGUACUAGGUGUGGGGUCCAUUCCACGGGUUCCGUGCCGUAGCUAACGCUUUAAGUACCCCGCCUGGGGAGUACGGCCGCAAGGCUAAAGCUCAAAGGAAUUGACGGGGCCCCGCACAAGCGGCGGAGCAUGCGGAUUAAUUCGAUGCAACGCGUAGAAUCUUACCUGGGUUUGACAUGGAUCGGGAGCGCUCAGAGAUGGGUGUGCCUCUUUUGGGGUCGGUUCACAGGUGGUGCAUGGCUGUCGUCAGCUCGUGUCGUGAGAUGUUGGGUUAAGUCCCGCAACGAGCGCAACCCUUGUUCACUGUUGCCAGCACGUUAUGGUGGGGACUCAGUGGAGACCGCCGGGGUCAACUCGGAGGAAGGUGGGGAUGACGUCAAGUCAUCAUGCCCCUUAUGUCCAGGGCUUCACGCAUACUACAAUGGCUGGUACAGAGAGUGGCGAGCCUGUGAGGGUGAGCGAAUCUCGGAAAGCCGGUCUCAGUUCGGAUUGGGGUCUGCAACUCGACCUCAUGAAGUCGGAGUCGCUAGUAAUCGCAGAUCAGCAACGCUGCGGUGAAUACGUUCCCGGGGCU
rnacentral:rRNA from 1 species